AUGAGUGGAGCUUGCUCCAUGAUUCAGCGGCGGACGGGUGAGUAAUGCCUAGGAAUCUGCCUGAUAGUGGGGGACAACGUUUCGAAAGGAACGCUAAAACCGCAUACGUCCUACGGGAGAAAGCAGGGGACCUUCGGGCCUUGCGCUAUCAGAUGAGCCUAGGUCGGAUUAGCUAGUAGGUGAGGUAAUGGCUCACCUAGGCGACGAUCCGUAACUGGUCUGAGAGGAUGAUCAGUCACACUGGAACUGAGACACGGUCCAGACUCCUACGGGAGGCAGCAGUGGGGAAUAUUGGACAAUGGGCGAAAGCCUGAUCCAGCCAUGCCGCGUGUGUGAAGAAGGUCUUCGGAUUGUAAAGCACUUUAAGUUGGGAGGAAGGGCAGUAAGUUAAUACCUUGCUGUUUUGACGUUACCAACAGAAUAAGCACCGGCUAACUUCGUGCCAGCAGCCGCGGUAAUACGAAGGGUGCAAGCGUUAAUCGGAAUUACUGGGCGUAAAGCGCGCGUAGGUGGUUCAGCAAGUUGGAGGUGAAAUCCCCGGGCUCAACCUGGGAACUGCCUCCAAAACUACUC
rnacentral:rRNA from 1 species